rnacentral:rRNA from 1 species
UACGUAGGUGGCGAGCGUUGUCCGGAUUUACUGGGUGUAAAGGGCGUGUAGCCGGGUUGGCAAGUCAGAUGUGAAAUGCAUAGGCUUAACCUAUGAACUGCAUUUGAAACUGUUGAUCUUGAGUAUCGGAGAGGCAAUUGGAAUUCCUAGUGUAGCGGUGAAAUGCAUAGAUAUUAGGAGGAACACCAGUGGCGAAGGCGGAUUGCUGGACGACAACUGACGGUGAGGCGCGAAAGUGUGGGGAGCAAAC